UGGCUACAAAGACUGACUGAUAGGACCAU
rnacentral:piRNA from 1 species